GAUGAACGCUGGCGGCGUGCCUAAUACAUGCAAGUCGAGCGAACAGAUGAGGAGCUUGCUCCUUUGACGUUAGCGGCGGACGGGUGAGUGACACGUGGGUAACCUACCUAUAAGACUGGGAUAACUUCGGGAAACCGGAGCUAAUACCGGAUAAUAUUUCGAACCGCAUGGUUCGAUAGUGAAAGAUGGCUUUGCUAUCACUUAUAGAUGGACCUGCGCCGUAUUAGCUAGUUGGUAAGGUAACGGCUUACCAAGGCAACGAUACGUAGCCGACCUGAGAGGGUGAUCGGCCACACUGGAACUGAGACACGGUCCAGACUCCUACGGGAGGCAGCAGUAGGGAAUCUUCCGCAAUGGGCGAAAGCCUGACGGAGCAACGCCGCGUGAGUGAUGAAGGUCUUCGGAUCGUAAAACUCUGUUAUUAGGGAAGAACAAACGUGUAAGUAACUGUGCACGUCUUGACGGUACCUAAUCAGAAAGCCACGGCUAACUACGUGCCAGCAGCCGCGGUAAUACGUAGGUGGCAAGCGUUAUCCGAAAUUAUUGGGCGUAAAGCGCGCGUAGGCGGUUUUUUAAGUCUGAUGUGAAAGCCCGCGGCUCAACCGUGGAGGGUCAUUGGAAACUGGAAAACUUGAGUGCAGAAGAGGAAAGUGGAAUUCCAUGUGUAGCGGUGAAAUGCGCAGAGAUAUGGAGGAACACCAGUGGCGAAGGCGACUUUCUGGUCUGUAACUGACGCUGAUGUGCGAAAGCGUGGGGAUCAAACAGGAUUAGAUACCCUGGUAGUCCACGCCGUAAACGAUGAGUGCUAAGUGUUAGGGGGUUUCCGCCCCUUAGUGCUGCAGCUAACGCAUUAAGCACUCCGCCUGGGGAGUACGACCGCAAGGUUGAAACUCAAAGGAAUUGACGGGGACCCGCACAAGCGGUGGAGCAUGUGGUUUAAUUCGAAGCAACGCGAAGAACCUUACCAAAUCUUGACAUCCUUUGACCCUUCUAGAGAUAGAAGUUUCCCCUUCGGGGGACAAAGUGACAGGUGGUGCAUGGUUGUCGUCAGCUCGUGUCGUGAGAUGUUGGGUUAAGUCCCGCAACGAGCGCAACCCUUAAGCUUAGUUGCCAUCAUUAAGUUGGGCACUCUAAGUUGACUGCCGGUGACAAACCGGAGGAAGGUGGGGAUGACGUCAAAUCAUCAUGCCCCUUAUGAUUUGGGCUACACACGUGCUACAAUGGACAAUACAAAGGGUAGCGAAACCGCGAGGUCAAGCAAAUCCCAUAAAGUUGUUCUCAGUUCGGAUUGUAGUCUGCAACUCGACUACAUGAAGCUGGAAUCGCUAGUAAUCGUAGAUCAGCAUGCUACGGUGAAUACGUUCCCGGGUCU
rnacentral:rRNA from 1 species